CAGAGAGUUUGAUCCUGGCUUAGGAUGAACGCUGGCGGCGUGCUUAACACAUGCAAGUCGAACGAAGCUCCUUGAACUGAAGAUUCGUCUGAUGGGAUAGGAAGACUUAGUGGCGGACGGGUGAGUAACGCGUGGGUAACCUGCCGUAUACAGGGGGAUAACAGUUAGAAAUGACUGCUAAUACCGCAUAAGCGCACAGUGAGGCAUCUCACAGUGUGAAAAACUCCGGUGGUAUACGAUGGACCCGCGUCUGAUUAGCCAGUUGGCAGGGUAACGGCCUACCAAAGCGACGAUCAGUAGCCGGCCUGAGAGGGUGAACGGCCACAUUGGGACUGAGACACGGCCCAAACUCCUACGGGAGGCAGCAGUGGGGAAUAUUGCACAAUGGGGGAAACCCUGAUGCCAGCGACGCCGCGUGAGUGAAGAAGCAUUUCGGUGCGUAAAGCUCUAUCAGCAGGGAAGAAAAUGACGGUACCUGACUAAGAAGCCCCGGCUAACUACGUGCCAGCCGCCGC
rnacentral:rRNA from 1 species